rnacentral:rRNA from 1 species
GACGUCCAGGAAGAAGAGCAUCUGAUGGUGCUCGCCGCCCUCGCCCAGCUGCUGGCGAGCAAUGAAAAGCCGCGUCGAGGUGGCUCGGCGCCAGGGCGGGUGAAAGCAAAGAACCGGCAUCGUCUGCAAGGCCACUGCAUGCUCUGCUCCGACUACUUCGCCGAUGCUCCACUUCAUGGCGAGAGAACAUUUCGGCGCCGUUAUCGAAUGAGCCGAAAGCUCUUCCUCAGGAUUGUGAAUUCCAUCCGGGAGUUCGACAACUACUUCAAGUGCAAGAUGGAUUGCACUGGCGCUCUUGGAUUCACCUCCAUCCAGAAGUGCACGACAGCGAUGAGGAUGCUUGCAUAUGGAGCUCCC